UAACGAAGCAUCUUCGUUAUACAGGUACCAAGACAUUUCCACUUCUUUCCAGGUUAACCCCUCAGUGUGAAGGCAGUCAUCACUUCUCUCACUCGCUCCGUGAAGUGAUGGAUGUGUGAGGUAUGUGAGGAUCAUGUUCUUUGACUUUUCAAGUGCAUUCAACACCAUCCAACCCACCAUACUCAAAGCCAAGCUCACAGAGAUGGGAGUGGAUCCUUCCUGUGUUUCCUGGAUUGCAGAUUACCUGACAGGAAGGCCACAGUUUGUCAGGCUGGGGAACUGUGUUUCUGGGACAUUAAUGAGCAGUACAGGGGCUCCACAAGGGACAGUGCUGGUGCCAUUCCUGUUCACACUGUACACGUCAGACUUCAAAUACAGCACUGAGUCCUGCCACAUCCAGAAAUACUCAGAUGACACCACUACUGUGGCAUGUAUCAGAAAUGGACAAGAAGCUGAAUACAGAGAUCUGAUAAGGGCCUUCAGUGACUGGAGUCACAAAAACUGCCUCCUCCUCAACACCUCAAAGACAAAGGAGAUGGUCAUAGACUUCCGUAGAUCCAAACCCCCUCUUCAGCCAGUGAACACCUGUGGAGUGGAUAUCGAAGUGGUGACAUCAUAUAAAUACCUAGGUGUACAUCUGGAUAAUAAGUUGGACUGGUCUAAGAAUAUAGACUACAUCUACAGAAAGGGGCAGAGCCGCCUCUUUUGCCUGAGAAGACUCCGAUCAGUAGACAUCUGUAGUAAGACGCUGCAGAUGUUUUAUCAGUCUGUGGUGGCAAGUGUGCUGUUCUACGCUGCAGUCUGCUGGGGAAGAAGCAUCAAACACAAAGAUGUAAGACGUCUUAUCAAACUGGUGAAAAAGGCUGGCUCAGUGGUAGGACUCAAGCUGGACUCAGUGGAGGAUGUGGUGGAGAGAUCUACACUGAGGAAGGUGGAGACUAUUUUCAAGAACAUGGAUUACCCACUUCACAACACCUUGAUGGAUCAAAGGGCAAAUGGUGGUGGACAGCUCCUCUCUCUUCGCUGCAGGACAGAAAGAUUUAGAAGAUCUUUUGUACCAACAGCCAUCAGGCUUUAUAACUUUUAUGUAAAUAAUAGAUAACUUUUAUAGACAUAUUACAUGAGACAACAGACAAUUGAAUUUCCCUUCGGGGAUCAAUAAAGUUCUUCUUCUUCUUAAGUGUCCUUCUUUUACUUUUAGGAUUUACACAUCAGCUCACCCGAAAACUUCUUUCACUGGGAGUUUGUGGGAAAAGUGUGAGCUCACAUGAGUGCAGAUGGGCAUAUCCACCCUCCAGAACAACCCACUGUAGUGCUUUCUCGUCAUUUCUGUCACUGCUAAAUACUUUUAUGACUCAAACUGGUUUUGAUUCCUCUAGUUUAGUAACAUGAAUCACUGAAGGCUGAAUCUUUGGCUCAUUUUGUUUAUUCUGCUGAAAACUUGUUUGAUACCAAAGUGGCUCCUGAACAGUAAUUCCUGGAGACUCUCUUGAUGUAAAAACUGGAGAAAUUUAUUCAAACAGCUCUGAUUCCUUUGCUGCUCUUCACAUUAUUCUGAAGUGUAACUCCCCAAACUUUGAUAAAUAAGUCAUGGUACUUACGCAUGCAGGAAAAUCAAUCAUGGACGCGUAUUCUUUAUUUCUCUGGUGUAUUUUGUCUCUUCUGCUCCGUUUCAUCACAGACACUUGAAACAUCACUGAGUUUUCAUCACUGAAACUGAAUUGAAACCUUGAGAAUCUGCUGAUGCUUCCCACGGAGAGACAACACUCACAUCUAUUUCGUGCAAACUUGAAAAGACAUGAGGAUGUUAGGAAAGGACGCGAUGCAUGCAAACACUUCAGAAUGAACGGCAGGGUGAGGAAUCGUUUAAAGAGGCAAUGUGAGAAAAUGACAGCAAACUGGAGAAACACAAGCUCAUCUAAGUGGGAAAAGGCUGCAGCUUGUUUUUGCAGAGCUAGCACCAUCAGCCGUUCUCCUUUAGAUCCAAAACAAAGUGAAAUGGCACAUAAACUUGCAAAAUGCAAUCAGAUGACUAAGAUUACAGAGUAUAUUCAUGUGUGGGUUUCAACCUGCAACAGCUGUUUUUGAGACUGCACCACACACACAAACACACACACAAACAGGGCAUAUAAGAGGGGUUGCAUUUUGGUGCAUAUGACGACAUUCUCACUUACUUAUCCCCGACAUGUCGCCCACCGCUACAACAAAUCACACUCAAUCUCACUUUUAUCCUUCAGCUCAUCUUUUCUCCAUGUGCUGCAAACCCACAAGUACACACAAAUACACAGGUACACACACACACAAACACACACACAGGAGAACAGAACUUCAGGACUGCCGUCAUACAAUCAAUAUACCGUACACACUUGAGCCUCAGAGCAGCUCAUGCAAACAUACAUCCACUUCAUCUGCUCUCAGUCUUUAUCAUCUGAUAGUCAAAUAUCAUCCUACUCAAAACAAUACAUACACACACACACACACACACAAACACACACACACACACACACACACACACACACACACACACACACACAGCAUCAUACACUCUGCACCUUCCUGAAGCUAAUGAAAAAAAGAUGAAAUGCAUCUGAGAACAGCCCCCCUUGACUUCCCUCUCUUGAACCCCUCUCCCCCUCCCUCCUAUCAUCAUCUCUUUUUCCUGUCCAGCUUCAUACUUUCCUUUUUUUAAUGCCUUCCUUCUCUGGUUUAAAUUCCACUCUACUCGUUCCUUCAUAUUUAAUUCUCCUUUCAUCACUUAUCUCUCUUCUUCUCUCUUUCUUAAAACAAAUGAUGACAUAAUCUUUUCAAUUAUGUAAAAUCCUAUAAAAGUGCUGCAGUUUAAAUCUGUCAAUAGUGCUUUGAAAACCAUUACUCGAACAAAUGAUGGACAUUAAGCCUAAAAUAAGUCAUAUUCAGUGAUUUGUGGAUUUUUUUUAAUUUUUAUUACUCACAAGUUUAAAAGGACAAGAAACAGUCAGGGGCACUUUUGAUUUGAAUCAGUGUAAAUUAAACGUCCUUAUGGAGCUCCAGACUGUAUACUGAGUCUCCUUUUUGUUCCUGUUAUUAUUAAUAAAGCCGUGGAUACAAGAGAGGGGGAGAGUCUCCAUCAAGCAUGGUUGGAGUGAACCACGUUCAGCGAAUUGCUGCUUUGUUUUCGUUGUGGAAGGCCAACAACCGUCAGAGAUGUAAGCAUUGUCAUGUCUGGGUCUCCUCCAACAGUUGUGCCCGGUUGACGACUGUUUCCAGUGGUAUUUCAUUUCAUUUUUAUUUGUUAAAGAGGGACAGUGUACAUUAAUGAACAUUUUAAAAAGAUAAAAUGUAAAUGGAUCCAAUUGUAGCCACAAGGCUAGUUUCCAUUGGUAGUCCCCCUGCCAGAAGGAACAUGGCUACCUAAAAAGGUGGGAAAUCAGCAACUACAUAAAAACAUACAUAAUACACAAUAUUUAAAACAUCAACAUUACCCACCCGAAAGCACGCCAACCAACUAAUGGGAACAAGUUUGGUUUUCAAGUAACCACCUCUUCAAAUUUACUUUGAAUGCUCUGUAUGAAUUGGACUCUGUUAUGUUUUGUGGUAUUGUGUUCCAAUCCUUGAAAUCCUUGGUAUUUUCAGGUUACCUAAACCCAACUUUCAUGAAUUUGCGUCAUCCGCGCAAAUGACUCGCUCAAUUCAUGCGAUUUGAGCCACCAGAGUAAUACAAGCGUUUAAUCCCAUCUUUGCUUUGACUUUACAUGUAAUUCUUUCACGUGAAUGAUUUUACUUGUGCUUGGUGUGAACGCCCCUUUUGGAAUAAAGCCGAUAAAGCCAACACACCACUGGAUAACAGCGCAGGCCUGAAGAUGAUAAACAUAUAAUUUGAACUUAACAUGAUGAGAGAUUUUUGCUUUGUUUCUAAUUAUUUCAUGUGCUUUGGGAAAAAGAGGAUAAGUCACUCAAAAAACAACCCUCCAAAGACUGAAAGUGAAAUUUGAAGGAGGAAAAGGAAAAUCACUUACAGCUGGUGUGAACAGUGUUCCUACACCUGUGUGAUGUCGUGUGCACCUGCUGAACGAUUUCAGCGGACUGCUCUCUCUCUCUAAUGACCGUCUGCAGGGAAAACGCUUUUUAGGAUGCAUGAGAUUUUUCAGCUCCAGUGCCACCUUGUUAAACUGAACAGCAAGGAGCGUCCCAAAGGGCUGCCCUUCACCCUGCUCACACAGACACACACACACACACAGACACACACACACACACACACACACACACACACACACACACACACACACACACACACACACACACACACACACACACACACACGCACUCCUUCAGUACAGUAGGAAUGAGCUGCAGCUCGUCUCAGAGAGCAGCAGCUUCUGAGUGUAUAAAUCACGCUCUUCUGCUUCUCAGCAUGGAGACAGAGAAUCUUUUUAGAGUCCUUGUCUGUGUCUGCUCUG
rnacentral:lncRNA from 1 species